ACUCUCCGUUUCAAUUUUCUUCAGAUGAGAAGUUUCAUCAUAAAGAAGGGGAAGUCCUGAGCUCAGUUCUAAAAGGACGCCCAAAAGAAAGAAAUUAAAAAACACAGUCUGAAGGGAGGCUACAGAAGAACUGCAGAGCAAGACACUCAACUGCAUUUGAAGAGACAGCGGUCGGCAAAGCAUCUUCUCUGUUGAAGAGACAUCUUCUGCAGCGCUCAUCCAGUGGAAUAGAAAAUCACAGUUUACAUCACCAGGCCAUAAUAUAUGCUUUGUUGCCAUCCACAGCGUGAGAAAAAAAUCCUCCUCUUGGUCAGUUUGCAUAUGAGUUCAACGAUAAAUGCAUGCAGAAGGACUUAAUUCUUUCCUUUAAGCAUACAAACCCCUGACUGCCAGCUUUAGAAAUGCAUUAUAAAACCUGAUCCCUUUGUUCACUUUGCCUGUGACUCACAUCAGCUAGAGAAAAAUAGCUGAAAAUGAAAGUUUGAAGAAAAAGCCCACACUAAAACAAUAUAUUGAAAAUGACAACACUUUCAGUAUUGUAUUUCAGGUAUCAUAUUUCAGUAUUCAAUAUUAGUCAUUCGUUUGCAUGGCAGGGCCUGGCUGGGGCUGAAAAGUGAUAUAUUUCAGCUGGUGUUACAGAUGUGGUGUCACAGUGUCACCAGCUUUUCAAUUCCCCCAGCAGUUCCUGGGGGAGAAGACAUAGGAUUACAGUUAUUAUAAGGUAAUCCCCCUCCAAAUCCAACUACACAGAGUGCAGAGCCAGGCUUGAGCCCUGCCAGGGAAGAACUGGUUUCCAGCUUUAUUAAAUACAGGAGGAAGGUGUGCAGAGAGAUGAUCAAAAGAUACCCUCGGCCAGGUUGUAUCAAUUAAUUCUCCAGCACAUGGAAGAAGCAAUUCCAUGCUGGACUUCAGAUGAGUGUAAUUUCUCCACUGCCUAUCACUACACUCACACUUCCCCUCCAUCCCCCCCAGGCUGAUGCAAGGAUAGUGUUUAUCACCUGUAAUCAGAUUACAGAAGUUUCCAAGUGUAUGCUGGACUUGUAAAAAGAAGGUUUCACACAAUGAACACACUUCAGAGCAGGGUGGAGAAAGUUUGCACAUGCAGUUCAAUGGGUACCCCUGAGAACAUGUUUCAUUUGGAUUAAGAAGGUGGUACCUCCUUUAGGCAACUUUCAAAAGGUUUUUCUAAAAAAACCAAACUUCCCUGUGUAUAUUUAGAACACAUUUAAAAUGUGUUGACAUAGAAUGACUCUGUAACAUGAUCUUUGGUAAAAACGGUGCAUUUCCUCAUGAGGAGCUCCUAGUUAAAGUACCACAGGAGUGUAUAGACACUCACAUACCAGGGCCAUCAAGUUCCUACAUUGAGUUUGUGCCUAUAAACUACCAGAGGAUUCCUAUAGCAGUACAAAUUUAAGAUGUAGUAUUGAUUUAUAUUGCCAGAGCUUUCCCAAUAGUUUAAACAAAACUUGCUGCUAUGUUUAACAACAGACUUAACCAAACAUUUUCCACUUUUCUUCUCUCUCCCUUCCCUAAUGUAAUCUGGUUUCAGAUGCAGUGUUUUGUGUUGCUUCAAACAAAAAAUUGUAAUCUUAGCAUCACAAGACCUGUAUUACUUGUUAAAAACAAACUGUUGUGAGUUACGUCUGUGCUACUUUUAGGAAAAAAAAAUCCCAAUGUGCUUUUUUAUCUUUAAAGUAACUCUUUUAUACAACCCUGUCCAGACAGAGACCACCCAUAUCCACCUUUGUUCAGGUGAUGUAAGCUGCACAGGUCACAGCAGUGCUGGGGUCAGAGAGGACACAGGUAGAUAUGUUCCCUCUUCCCAAGUGCAUCCUAGCCCAUGUGCUACAAGAAGUCAACUACACCUAUAGGAAGGAAGGACAGAGACAUUGAUGCCUUCUUACCUAGCUGAUUGCUCCGUGACUUGGCUGGUUCAGAUUUCUGCAGACAGCAGGGAGGAUGAGGGAUGAGCAAGUGAAAAGGGAGUGCAGAAGGUGUGGGCUCCUUCUCCAGAGAAGCAGAAUGAUAAGUGCUUCCCUCGAGGCGACACACACGAACUGCAGAACACACAAGGCCCACAGGUUGUUCUUCACCAAUGUGCCUGAAGCAUUUUAACACGUACAGGACCCAGUUAGGCCUUGUGCUGUCUUUUCUUGCAGUCUGUCAGGGAAUGGAUCCCUCCUUCAGUGCCCCUUCAGCAACAAACCAAACCACACAUAACAACACAGGAUGAGGUGGAACACUGGCAACAAACCACAGGGAAGCUGACAAGGUUGUAUGACAAGAAAGAUACUGUAUUAUGAAUGUAGGUGUGUAAAUAAUAAAGCACCAAUGCGAGUAUUCAAAAAACCCUCCUCCAGAAUGCUUCCAGAGCAGCAGCUAAACUAGAUUUUUGUUCCAGUGGCUCCAACAAAGUUUCUCUUUCUUCCUUUCUUAAAUAAAAUGUUGCUGAAAUAGAGGACGACUGGUCUGGGGAAACCAAAGUCAGCUUCUGUGAUUACACACCUUAGAUUUACUCUGGCAUUUUCACAUCUCAGUGCACAAUUGCUUUAUUGUCUUCCCCUCUCUACAGAUUGUACUGGAAACUUCGAUCCACCACAGCAUUAGUAACUACGGGGGAAAUCAGGUACAAGCAUAUAUAUACACACUCCCCCAAAAUCUUUCAAAAAUAAAUAAUGCAUCAUAACCAGAUCAACAAGGUUGACAUUUUUUAUUUGUACUUAGCACAUACAGGAAAGAUCAAAACAAAUAAUAAAAGAUAGCAUUUGUAAACAAAUGUAUUUCACAAAAAGUUAUAAACUACCAAAUUUGCUCUGAAAAAAUUCAUUAUAGCCAUUUAGAAAUGUGUAUUUAUCAAAAUCAAGUUAAAAACUACUUCAUUUUGAAAACAUUCCAAAUGAAGAUUCAUUCAUUCCAACAACUUCAGAGACACCACAAAUGUAAGGCCUAACAAAUGCACGAGUGAAGAUGGCACUGUGAUUUUUGGUUUAAAGAUAACAAAAAAGUCUGCAAGUGAUCAAAAUACCAGCCAGUCUCAUUCAAAGUCCUAGGUCUGUAAAAUAUACAUUCAACUUCGCAAAUACCUAACUU